UACGAAGGGGGCUAGCGUUGUUCGGAAUUACUGGGCGUAAAGCGCACGUAGGCGGACAUUUAAGUCAGGGGUGAAAUCCUGGAGCUCAACUCCAGAACUGCCUUUGAUACUGAGGAUCUUGAGUACGGGAGAGGUGAGUGGAACUGCGAGUGUAGAGGUGAAAUUCGUAGAUAUUCGCAAGAACACCAGUGGCGAAGGCGGCUCACUGGCCCGUUACUGACGCUGAGGCACGAAAGCGUGGGGAGCAAACAGG
rnacentral:rRNA from 1 species